rnacentral:rRNA from 1 species
GAUGAACGCUGGCGGCGUGCCUAAUACAUGCAAGUCGAGCGAACGGACGAGAAGCUUGCUUCUCUGAUGUUAGCGGCGGACGGGUGAGUAACACGUGGAUAACCUACCUAUAAGACUGGGAUAACUUCGGGAAACCGGAGCUAAUACCGGAUAAUAUUUUGAACCGCAUGGUUCAAAAGUGAAAGACGGUCUUGCUGUCACUUAUAGAUGGAUCCGCGCUGCAUUAGCCAGUUGGUAAGGUAACGGCUUACCAAGGCAACGAUGCAUAGCCGACCUGAGAGGGUGAUCGGCCACACUGGAACUGAGACACGGUCCAGACUCCGACGGGAGGCAGCAGUAGGGAAUCUUCCGCAAUGGGCGAAAGCCUGACGGAGCAACGCCGCGUGAGUGAUGAGGGUCUUCGGAUCGUAAAACUCUGUUAUUAGGGAAGAACAUAUGUGUAAGUAACUGUGCACAUCUUGACGGUACCUAAUCAGAAAGCCACGGCUAACUACGUG